GCAGCUGCACUAAUUUCUAGCUUCUCUCUGUUAACAAAAAGGUGGGGGGUGGGGGGAAAGCAAUCAGAUUUUUACUGGAGUAUACACCAGCCUUGGCCAAGUGCUUUGAAACUUUUAGAAUGUCUUCUUUCAUUGAAAAUAAAAGAAGCAGAGCUUAUGGUGUAAUAAGCCAAACACAACAGUUACUGAACUUGAGUCAACAUUGGAUACCAUUACAGCUUUCAGGAUAGUCAUGGGAAUGUAUGAAAUGAGUAAGUACGUUUUGAUACCUGUGAAAAUAAAACAUUGUGCUGUAAGUGAGUGGGAGAGAACAGAUGGUUGGUAAUGAUUUAAAACAUUUAUGUUUUUGGACUAUCACCAAGCCUCUGUAUUAAAAAAUAUGGUGUUUAGUUAGUACAUACCAACAUCUAUAUGCAAGGUGCUCAUUUUCUGGAGGACGGUACUGUAAUGAAGGGGAUAAAAACCAAAUGAGCAUACGAGUAAAACUAGAAAAAAAUGAUAGAAUGCGAUUUAUGUUGAUUCCUGGUCAAGUGAACACAAGCCGGCCCACUGAACCAGAAGAAAAGAGUAAUAGAACUCUUGAAAGAGAAGAUAAAACCCACCGUAUCCAGAUAUUGCUGGGAAGAAAAAUAAAAACAACUAUUAAAAAUUUAAAAUCACUUUUAGAAAGCUUCCUUGCAUUAGUGCUAUGAAAUAGAAAGAGUCUUGGAGAACAGGAUUUGUUCACGUUAAGUUGGGCAAGUCUUCUCUUCCUGGGCUCAGUUUCCUCAUCUGCAGUGCAUGAGGUCAUUGAACUCCAUAAGCCCUAAGGAUCCUUCUGGUUUCAAAAAUCCCAUAACGUCUGAUAUAGAACACUUACCUUGACAAAGCUCUUCAAGUCAUUUUCACCUUCACAUAUUGAUUUAUCUGUGUAGUGACAUUUAAAGUGAAUUCUAAUCAGGAAAUAAAAGGCUGAUUUCUUCAGUAGAAGAAAUUGACAAUAAAAAAAUGUGAAUACAAGAGAGAAACAAAGGCCUGAUUACCAGAAGUCGAUCUAUAGGAUACAGAAUGUGGCAUUGUACAAAGUAGAAAUUCCUUUCUAAAAUUUAAGAAGAAAUCAUUGUAACAUCAGGAAUAAACAGGAAAAAGGAGAAAGCAUUAAGAUUUUCCAGUCAAGGAGAGAUCUGGAAACAUAAUGAUUUACCUCCUGCCAUAGCAAGCAUGGUAUAGCAAAUUUUAUGAUUUGGGGUUGAUCAAAAUUAUUGUGUGACGAAGACAUAAUUAAAAAAAGAUUUGACUCUGUCUCUAACCUUUUUUAAGGAAGGAAUUAUUUUCUUAAAAAUCAAGAACAAAUCAAGGACCAAAUAUCUAUAACUAAAGCACAAAUUAAGUGUUCAGAAGAAUAUUGGGGAGAAAAAGCAGAAUGCAAAAGGAAAAAUGCCUUAUGGAAAGAGCAUAGGAUUAAUAGUAAAUGAGGAAGAACUAUGACUCCUAAAGAAUUAUAAAUUUUAAAUUGUAUGAAAAAUAAUAUUGGUAAAACAGAAAAACUAAGAGAUAAUUGUAAGUAAAUAAAAAUGAAACAAGAUGUGUUGCCAUUAUUAUUAUAUAUCAGCUGCCCCAGUAAAGCAAUAAUUCAAGGUCAAAUAACUUAGAAUGGUCAGCACCUAAUAGUCUUGGUAAAUAGAGCAGGUCAAUAAAUAUAUAUUGAUUGGUUGAUUGAAUAAGAAAUGCUUGCAGUUAUUUUAGGAAAAUCAAAGUUGCUUGGGAAGUUAUGCAUGUAAUUUCUUAAACUAAGCAAGUAUAAAUUUCCUUUUGAAACAAUAUAAAACAAAACCUUUCCUAACAGUUACCUCUAAAUCCUAAACAAUGAAAUCUUUUAUAAGAUAAUGUUUAUAUAUAGCAAAACCUAAAUUGGAAAUAGAUAAAAUGUGGAAAUAUAAAUGUGCUUCUGUAGAAAGAAAUUAUAUUUUAUAUCUUUGAUGGUUUUUGAUAGGUGGUUGGAAUAGGGAAAAUUCUGUGUGAACAAUUUACCAAAAAAAUGCUAUACUUUCCUCUAAACCAAUAUUUGGACAUAUAAAUAUUUUCCAACUGGGUUCAGUUUUUGAUAUGGCCAAAGAUAAUGAUAUGUUAUUUCAAGACUGUAAGUCAAAAUAAAAUUGAUUUGAAAUGGUCUGAAUUAAUGAGAUGCCUUCCAUCCUGUAAGUUUCAACAUUGUCAUCUCAAGUGAUAAGAUAAUGAUGGACCGUUUCUUACCAAAUAUUUUAUUAAUUAACUCACGAAGCUUGGCCUGUUCAGUCAGUAUAGACACUAUGUUCCGGUGCCUUGGAUGUGAUUAGCAAGAUGUGAUUCCUUUAAAUAAUGAGCUCAAAACACAUAUUAAAUUUAGAAGUGGUAAGCUUACAGGAAAAAGAAAGAUCUGCUGGGAGUGAAUAAAAGGAAAAAGAAAAAAUGGCUUUGUGAUUUCUAUCAAUGGUGUGCAUGUGCGUGUGUGUGUGUGUGUGUGUGUGUGUGUGUGUACGUGUACUUGAAAGAGAGAGAGAAUGCAGGCAACAGGCAAGCUGGUAAGAAAUUUGAUGAAAUAGAGAAUAUGUCAAUGAUGUAUCCUAAGAAAAAAUAUAGAAUUUGAGGGCACAGAGUAAUUCUAAAUCCACCUCCAAUCCCAUGCAAUGAAAUAUUUCCUCGUCCAGCACUGGGAGUACUUGUGAUAUACGGCUCACCUCACUAAAUCUAAUAUCAUUUCAGCCCAGAGGGACACAGAGCAUGGUGACUGACUUAGCCUUUUUGAGGGAAGGGAUUUUGUUGACUGUUCAAAAUGUGUUGUCCUUAAUGGGAGGAUUUUUUUUCAAAUAAAGGUAAAUAAUGAUUUUUGAAGACUAAUACCUGUGAUGAAAAAUUAGUGUAAAAGAAAAUUUAUACUCAGUAGCAUCAUAAAAUAAGUAUAAUAUUAGCAGUGUGCUACAAAUAUUAUUUCUAAUGUUAAUACUUAAAGUGAGCUGAUAAUGAAACCAAUUCAGCUUAGUAUUAUUAAGCUUAUGCUUUUAUUUAGCUAGUUAUUUACAUCUGAAUCUAUGUCUACAUAUAGCUAUUCUAAAUAACAUUUGGAUAUUUGGUCUAUUUAAAAGUCUUUUUCCCCUCUUGUAAUAAAAAUGUUUUUAAAUUAUCUCCUAAUAUUUAGAAAAGAAGGAAAGUAUCUAUUAGAUAUUUAUAUCUUGUACUUGUGAGGGGUAAAACAGUGGAACUUAGAACUUGAAAGACUGCCUUGUUUUAGAGGGAAAACAAAGAUGCUAUUUCUGGCUAAUAAUUGUGAAUGUAACCUGAACCUUAAUUACUAAGGUAAAAAUAAACAAGUUCAAGAUACAAUCUCUUGCUAAAGUCUAUUCUUCAAUACAUUUCUUAAUACACAUGGUAACAUCUAAGAAUAAAAUUUCCAAGGAGGAAUGUGUCCUAAUGCAAUUACCUUGGAAAGUUUUCAUAUUUCA
rnacentral:lncRNA from 10 species